rnacentral:tRNA from 1 species
GGGCCUGUAGAUCAGUAGCAGAUCUUUUAAAUGCACAUAGCAUUUAAAUCUUAGGCUUGACUUGCACUCAAGAGGUCACGGGUUCAAUUCCCGUCAGGUCCA